UACGGGGGGGGUAAGCGUUGUUCGGAAUUACUGGGCGUAAAGGGCUCGUAGGCGGCCAACUAAGUCAGACGUGAAAUCCCCAGGCUCAACCUGGGAACUGCGUCUGAUACUGGAUGGCUUGAAUUCGGGAGAGGGAUGCAGAAUUCCAGGUGUAGCGGUGAAAUGCGUAGAUAUCUGGAGGAAUACCGGUGGCGAAGGCGGCAUCCUGGACCGACAUUGACGCUGAGGAGCGAAAGCUAGGGGAGCAAACGGG
rnacentral:rRNA from 1 species